GCCCAAACCCGACCCAAUAGAGCCCACCAUAUAAGUACCCACAACCCAUCAAACGCUCUUCAGCUACGCACCAUUCGUUCGUCGUCUCCUUCGCGGAGAUGUCCGAAACCUAACUCACCCUUCACAAAUGGAAACAAAGGACAAAUACACUUCCCUAAAUCCUUAGUAUUUCACAAAUUGUAGCAAAAUAACACAUAGUUCGUCAAGAAACCAAGAAUUAAAGACCGCAAAGCGAUUUCAACUGCAUCGACGACGUCUUCAUAAAACUGAUGCAAGGAUCACACAGCAAUUUCUCAUCACUAUAGGGUAAUCUGUUCCCCUUCUUUAUUUGGUUUAAUUUUAAACUUUAUUUUUAUAAAAAAAAAAUUCUACUGUGUCCAAACCCAUUUCCCCAUUUCGCGUUCUCACUCGUCUUCCUCUUGCAUAAACGCUCUCUGUCUCUCUUUUUUCUCUCAAACAAUCUCGCUCUCUCUCCAUUUGCUCAGCUUGAUUCUUCAUUAGAUCUCUUAUCGAAAAAAUUGAAAUUACAAUAAGAUCCUAGGUUCUAUACGCUCCCAGCAGGUGAUGUAGUUCUUCUUACCUUUUUUUUCUUCUUUGUUUUGGGUUUGUAAUCGGUUUAAUUUAUCCUAAAAAUCUUCGAUUCUCUGCUAGAAUUUGUUAAAUUUAACAAAUGAGGCUUUAGGAUCUACUUCAUGUUGAUAAAUUUCUGAGCUAAAAUGACAAAAUUUUCUAUCUAUAGUUAUCAUCAAAUUUGGGAAAUGCAUGUUCUGUUGAGUGUGUUCGAUCUAUGAUUUUACGUUAUUUGUUUACCUCUACAGUUAGCCGUAGUCUUAUUAAAAUUGAGUUUUACUGAUUAUGUGAUUAUACUACGAUUGAUUUGUCAGAUCUAAGUUUUUAUAUUGAUUUCCUUUCAUAAUUCAAUUACUAAAAACUUUUUAUUGUAAUGAUAGUCACAAUGAAGAGGCAUAUUUUUGUAGACAUACAUUUCUCACUCAAAAUGGAUUCAAAUAAUGUAAACAAUGUCUUUCAGGUGAAAGUGAAUUUGACGAAAGAUUUCCUUACUCCUUUCAAAGAAGGCAAUUUAUAUUAGAUUAAAUGCAUUGGUAAUGGUAGUAUAAUGAUUACUAAUACUUAGACUUGUACUCAAAAGCAUUCCCUAUUUUAUUGGGAAUAAGAGUAGUCUGCAUUUUUCAUUUCAAUGUAAUAUUAUUGAACUGAAUUGGUUCUUUAGUUCUGAAUAUAAAUUUUUUUUAUUCAUA